CCUAUGAACUUUCGAUGUUCUUUUAUGCGCCUAACAUGGUGACCACGGGUAACGGGGAAUCAGUGUUCGAUUCCGGAGAGGGAGACUGAGAAUCGGCUACCACACCCAAGGAAGGCAAGCGGAGGGCGCGCAAAUUACCCAAUCGCGACUGACACGGGGAGGGACUGACAGUAAAU